ensembl:lncRNA
CCCUGUGCUUGGGAUGAGAUCUCCGCUGCCCAACUCAGAAACAAUGGCAUUGUUGAGCAUGCGGUUCUCCAAAUCACUUAAUCCAUGACUAAUCCAUGCUCAAAAGGAAGAACAAUGCAUACUUUGUUCCCCUAAUGAAGAUUUUGGUGAAGACGAAACAAUGAAAUAUUUCUAAAAGUACAAGAGCGUGUCAAGACACUUACUGCUCUUUUUGUGGAUGUAACUUGGGACCUUCAGCGACUCGUUUCUCUUUUCCACUGGAGCUGUCCCAUCGCCGCAAGCCUGUGUCAUGUAGUGAAGAUUAACACAUUAGAGGUCUCUUUAAAAAGUUAUAUUCAGUUAAAUCUGCAACAUAAAUACCCUGGUCCUUGUCAGCAAACCUGAGGUUAUCCUUGUGUUAUCCUCACUCUAUCAAUGAAGGGACAGAAGAUCACCGACUCCUGAGAGCUCCCCGUUACCAAUACCGUCUGCACUGACUAGUGAAGAGAUUUUCAGCUUCAAGCAGCCACAAAGCCUCCCAAGCUGGAUUCAGGAAUUGAGAGAAUGAUUGGUUUGUACAAAUGAAAGAAGCAGGAUGAACCUCGGGUUUCACCCGAGUUGAGUCUGCUCUCAGAACAGGGAUGCCCACUGCCCUGUCCAGUACCAAAUGCUUCUGAGUGAAAGAAAGGAGCCUCUUCUCUGCCAGUGGAGGGAAGUUCUGGGCUGUCCCUCUGGCGCUGUGGCCUCUCGAUCCCCAGCCAGACACUGCUGCAGGAGAAUGAGCGGCCAGAAAGCAGCGUGUGAGCAGAAGACAGGACAGAGUGAGCCCGGGCCGAGGACAGAAGGGACAGAAGCACCGUGGAGCUCUGUGUUUGCUUUCGGCCCAGGGUCUGCAGAGGUCUGGCGAGGUGCGUCUGCGCGUGUGGCGGGAUAGGACCCUUAGACCUCCGACCUGAACACCACGCGCUCAGCCCAGGUUUUGGUGUGAGCUGUAUUUGGUCAACUGAGAAGUUAAAUUUUGCUGUGUGCCUGGAACCUGCAAUUCUGCAUCUGUUUGAAGGCUCAUUUUCCGUGUGAUCCACCAGCAUAAGAAGGUCAUCACAAAAUUUGCGAUGCAUCAUCAGUGGUUCCAGGGAGCCACUCCACCGUGCGGAGGGGCCAGGGUGGAGAUGUCAGGGGUUCCUCUUGCUGGACCAUGAGUGACGGAGAACAGCCCGUAUCGUUGCUCCUCAAGGGUGGGGAAGCAGUAAAACAUCAGGGAUAGGCCUGCAGGUGACAACAAAGGACAGGUCAGAGUUUACACGGUCGCUGACACAUGUAAGUAUGGGCGCUUCUUGGGUUACAGUGGAGCUACGUCCUGAUGAGUACCAAGAGCUGACAGUGUCACAGUUGCCAUGCACUGGACUCGUCUGUCUGCCAAACACCACAGCCCGUCCUGAGCUUCUCAGGUCUGCUCUGGGCACUCACCUUCGCUUGCCUUUGGGUAAAACCAUCUAACACAGGGCCUAUCUUACAAUAAAGCGUGGAUUGACCAUGAAAUUUACCCACUGCUGUUCUGAAAGUAAAAGGCAGAAUGGUGUGUGGAUGUGCUGUGGUACUAUUCUAAAGCCAAAAACUCAAAAACCAACUACUAUAAGUUGAAAACUUUCAGCACUGGCUCUCAGCAGCCUCGGACAUUACGAUAAUG